rnacentral:tRNA from 1 species
GGUGGGGUUCCCGAGCGGCCAAAGGGAGCAGACUGUAAAUCUGCCGUCAUCGACUUCGAAGGUUCGAGUCGAGCGCCAGCG